GAACAGCUGGGCAGAUAGCACCAGGCAUAUUUUGGAAUGGAUGAGGUCUGGAACCCUGAGCAGUCCAGUGAGGACUUGGUCUUAGUUGAGCAAUUUGGAAGACACAUGUCUGUACUCCA